CCAAAAACACCUCAAGGCUCUCACGAGCAGCACCAGGAUUUCUGAAGACACUGUGAAGGUAACAGAGCACUUCCAAGGGUGAUUACCACAGCAAGAGUCAAGUGAAUGAACAUUCAGGAAGAAAUGACCAAAGGAGCCAUUCAAUUUUUCUUUGGAGUGCUUUGUUUCAUAAAUCUUCAGACAAGCCAUCAACUUUUCCAUUUUGGAAAUCAAAUCUCAACUUCAUUCUGCUUGCCAGUAACAAAACAAAAGAUGCUCUAUGUCUGCCCACAGAGCCCAUCACAUGGCCUGCAGCUAUGCCAUCUCUUCUGGGUGCUGACACUGAAAAAGAAUUAGAGCACAGAAGAAAUGCUUUUGAUGAUGUGCGAACCCCAGAAGGAUCCAAACCACACUAAUUUAAGCUCUCUGUGCUUACAAGGAACAGCUCUUACUGUGGGUAGUUACAAACUAGAAGAGAGUUCCUUCAGUGGGAAGAAUUUAACAGCUUCUUCCCUGAAGGCUCUUUUAAAAUCAUGUUAAGGAAAAGAAGAAAUCAAUAAAUACACUUGUUGGAGGAGGAAUUCAGAAGCUGUGUCCCUGCUGAGGCCAGUCCUGCUCCAGGGAGCUUAAAGAUGGACCCGAGAAGCUGCUUGCAGAGGUAAAAGAACUUCCUUUUGAAGGCUCUCCAGUGAGAACUGAAAACAUCAUUCCAGAGAGGAUGAGUGCUGUUAAUCCACAGGACUAACUUACUGCUUGCCAGACAAAAUAUGCGUAAAAAUACAUCACAGCUGCCACAGCACCUUUCACAUUGCAGUGUCCUGGAUGACAACCAGCAUCACAAUGAAACGGCUGCAUUUGGAUUUACAGCUGUAGUCACCUGCUAUCCAGAGUGGGGAUGAUCUUUAUAGCACAGAGACCUAACUGAGUGGCCCGUGGCUCUGCAAGGAGUCAGUGGCAGGAGAGGAACCACAGAGUCCUGUCUUUGGUGCUCUGCUCACUCCCUGGUGGAGGUUUAAUGCCACAAUAUACAUGGGAAUAGUUCUUAAGAACAUUUCUCCACUCUUUUACUGUCAGGGUAUGGAUCAUCCUUCCUGCUCUCCCCAUAUCAUUCUCAGACAUGGAACAAAAUUUAAAAACCCUAUCAUGCUAUUUUGCGUUUCAAUUAAGUACAGUGGACCAGAAUCCCAGCGGCUAGGCUGGGAUGUGCUGGCACAGCCCCUUAUGAGCAGGACAGAUCCCAGUCUGCUGUGGUGAAGAGCACGGUGCACUCUCUAUGCUUGUACCCUGCUGGGAACACAGGCCAGUCCUCAGACUAAGUUUUGGCUUAGGAGGUGUGGAAAGAAUUUGGCAGCUUGUUCCAGUCUCCCAACCUUGCUCACCCUCACAUGGAAUCACAGCAAAGAUCCAAAGCAACAGAGUACUAUGCCAAUUUCUGCGGGUUUGGCUAAGCAGCUCCCUGUUGGCAUUUCCACACACAGCAUCUGGAUAUUUCCUAACAGGGUGGCAGCCCAGGGGGGCGAUUUUCAGCCUUCUCUAAUUACAAUGCUGCUGUCAAUGAGUUAAUGCCCUUGGAGAGCGGGGAGAGCAGUGCCUCGUGAACGGCUCCCACCCUGGGUGGAGAUGAAGCACUGAAAGAUGUACAGAGAAAUGCAGCCUGCCUUGAAAGUUGAAAAUUAAAACAUGGACUCUUAAAAUUCACAUCCUGCAGCUCUCAGGCUUGUUCAUGGUUGUCAUGGGUUA